CAAGUCGAGUGCGCGUCUGUAGCAAUACAGAUGGCGCACGGCGCACGGGUGCGUAACACGUGGGCAAUCUGCCCUUCGAUGGGGAAUAACUCCGGGAAACCGAAGCUAAUUCCGCAUAACAUUCUUUGGACUCCGGUUCGAGGAUUCAAAGCCGUAAGGCGUCGAAGGAGGAGCCCGCGCCCGAUUAGCUAGUUGGUGAGGUAACGCCUCACCAAGGCAAUGAUCGGUAGCUGGUCUGAGAGGAUGGCCAGCCACACUGGAACUGAGACACGGUCCAGACUCCUACGGGAGGCAGCAGUGGGGAAUCUUGCGCAAUGGGCGAAAGCCUGACGCAGCGACGCCGCGUGGGGGAUGAAGCAUUUCGGUGUGUAAACCCCUUUCGACUGGGACGAAUGCCUCGCAAGAGGAGUGACGGUACCAGUAGAAGAAGCCCCGGCUAACUACGUGCCAGCAGCCGCGGUAAGACGUAGGGGGCCAGCGUUGUUCGGAAUUACUGGGUGUAAAGGGUUCGUAGGCGGUGUGGCAAGUCGGGAGUGAAAUCUAUGGGCUUAACUCAUAGGCUGCUUCCGAAACUGCUGUGCUUGAGUGUGGGAGAGGCGCGUGGAAUUGCAGGUGUAGCGGUGAAAUGCGUAGAUAUCUGCAGGAACACCCGUGGCGAAAGCGGCGCGCUGGACCACAACUGACGCUGAGGAACGAAAGCUAGGGGAGCAAACAGGAUUAGAUACCCUGGUAGUCCUAGCCCUAAACGAUCAGGACUUGGGGUGCCACCCGUUCGGGUGUCGUCCCGGAGCUAACGCGUUAAGUCCUGCACCUGGGGAGUACGGUCGCAAGACUGAAACUCAAAGGAAUUGACGGGGGCCCGCACAAGCGGUGGAACAUGU
rnacentral:rRNA from 1 species